GCCGGGGUGGUGGAACUGGCGAUACACGUGGCACUCAAAACGCCAUGCCCGUAAGGGCGUGCGGGUUCGAAUCCCGCCCCCGGUA
rnacentral:tRNA from 1 species